rnacentral:rRNA from 1 species
ACGGAAGGCAGCAGUGAGGAAUAUUGGUCGAUGGACGGAAGUCUGAACCAGCCAAGUCGCGUGAAGGAUGAAGGUAUUAUGUAUUGUAGACUUCUUUAGCAGUGGAGUAAUAAGGGGAUCGCGAUCCCUGAUGCAAGUACACUGAGAAUAAGGAUCGGCUAACUCCGUGCCAGCAGCCGCGGUAAUACGGAGGAUCCGAGCGUUAUCCGGAUUUAUUGGGUUUAAAGGGUGCGCAGGCGGCUUUUUAAGUCAGUGGUUAAAUCGUGACGCUCAACGUCAUCACGCCAUUGAUACUGGAGAGCUUGAUUGCGGUCGAGGUUUGCGGAAUUCGUUGUGUAGCGGUGAAAUGCAUAGAUAUGACGAAGAACACCGAUUGCGUAGGCAGCAGACCAGGCCGUAAAUGACGCUCAUGCACGAAAGUGCGGGGAUCGAACAGGAUUAGAUACCCUGGUA